CACUAAGAAGCUUAACACAGCACUAACCUUUUAAGUUAGAGAGGGGACAAAAAUAGCCCCUUAGUGA
rnacentral:tRNA from 1 species